GGAGAGAUGUGAACCUUGGAAAAAUACCUAAAAAUAAAUAAAUUUUAGGCGACUUUCCUAGGGCCACAAAGGUGGUAAAUGCCUGAGGAUAGUUUGAAUUCAGAUCUGCUUGACUCCAAGCCCAGCAUUUUAUCCACUUUACUACCUGCCUGUCACAAGAAGCACAACUAAGACAAGGCAACUUUCAUGAAAGGUAGAAUGGCACCAGGACUAAUUAUAAUAUCCUACAAGAGUUGGCUGAAGAAACUAGGGAUAUUUAUCUUAGAGAAUAGAAGAUUUACAGGGGAUGUAGAUAGUUGUAUUUGAAAUAUUUAAAGGAUGGCCAUGUGAAGGAGGAAACAUUUAUUCUAUUUGACCCUAGAGGUGAGAAUUAGAGUAGUAGGUGUAAGGAAGUUCCUUAUACCACUGAAAACACAGGCUCUAUCCCUAUUCUUUUCCCCAUGCCGCUGUAGAUCACUAUAUCACUCACAUAAUAUGAAGUUAAUUGCAAAAAUUUUAAGUAUUAAAUUUAGAAUAUGAUAAAUCUAAUCUUUUAAUGGAAUAAUUUAAGUAAAAAAUAUUCCCUCUAGAGUAUACUAAACUAUUCAAAAUGAACUGUUUCUCCAGGAGUAGCCUGAAAAGGGUAAUUUGGCCUAAACACAUAAGCAUUCUGCAUCCAAGAGGAAGCAUACUAUAUUUUUCAACUUAUUUCACUAUAGGAUUAGUUCUGUCUUGUAUAUUAUGAAAAUGGACACGACUAUGCCCCAAAUAGACAACAUUAUCUAAUCUAACUGGCAAAUAAUCUCUAAGGUUCCUUCUAACUAUUAAAAAAAAUAGCACUGUAAUACAGUGGCUCCUGGUAGAAUGCCUUCAUUUUCCUUAGGGUCAACAUCAGUCACUCUCAUGCAAAAUAAUUAUUUCCAUUUUAUAGUAUGAGUAAACAGACUGACUUAUAAUAUAAAGUAACUAGUAAGUAAUGAGUAGGAAUGUAAAGACUUGGUUAGCAGAAGUUCUUGGUUCCCUUAUCCCUUACACUUCCUUGACAAUGUCCACAUCAACGCCAAAAUCCCCAGAGAAACUUGAGGUCUUACUACUUACAAAAAUUUCCCAAAAAUUCAUGUAGAUGUUGGAUUUUACUCUACUGUAACUUCUCUAAUUUCUUUCAAUAAACUAUAAAAAUAGAUCCAUUUUUCUACAUGUUUAUGGUUUCUUUUUAAAAUGUUAAGAAGUUAGUUCCUGAAAAUAGAGAUUUUUAGGUUCAUAAAAUUUGCAAUUUACAAUUCUUUUUUUAAAUGUGCAAAUUUGUGAAUGGGAAAUUUGGAGAAAAGAGUUAAUGUUUUAAAUUUUUUAAGCUAAAGGCUUUAAGUCAUUGCAAACAACAGUGUGGGGAACCUGUAAAAAAAAAACCAAUACAAUUUUCUGUUAAUGCCAACUAAGCAACAGCCAAAACAAUACAAUGUAAUAUAUAUGGCUCACCUACAUAUCACAUCUGGAAUACUGUAAUCAGUACUGGAUGUUAAAUUUUAGAAAGGAUAUUGAUAGACUGAAAGCAAUCCAGAUGAGAGAAACAAAAAUGGAGGACCUCUGGAUCAUGCCAUAUGAGAAAAAAAUUAUGACAACAUAGUCUCUCCAGAAGGGCAAUAAAGUUACCUUUGAAGAACUCUCACUUGGAAGAGGGAUUAGAUUUGUUUGACUAGGCCUAAACAGCAGAACUAGGAACCAUGAGAGGAAAUUGAAAAGAAGCAGAUUUAGGCGAUAAUCUUUUCUUACAUUUUCAGCUCUCCAAAAGUGAAUUGGGUCACACCUUUAAAUGAUAUGAAAAUCAUAAUUGGAUAAGCAUCUCUUAAGAAUGUUGGGGGGGGAUCUUAUUCAGGACUAAAUUUGACUCUAAGAUAUUCUCUAAGGUUCCUCCCAAAUUAGAUGCUAUCAUUCUGAUACUAUGUUAGUCAACAAGCAGCAAUUAAACCAUUAUUAUGCACCCAAAAAAAUGGUCCCAAAAGUCAUAUCUUAAUAGGAGAGACAGCAGGAAAAUAACUAUGUAUAUGUAUAAUAUAAAUGAGAUAGAAACCAGAGGAAAUGCACUAGCAUUGGGAAGGGCAGGGAGACUUCUUUCAAAGGUUGGAUUUUGAGAUGAGUCUAAAAGAAAGCUAAGGGGGCAGCUGGACAGCUCAGUGGAUAGACAGCCAAGUCUAGAGAAAGGUGGUCCUGGGUUCAAAUGUGACUUCAGAUACUUUCUAGCUGUGUGAUUCUGGGCAAGUCACUUAGCCCUAAUUGCCUAGCUCUUACUGCUCUUAUGCCUUGGAACCAAGAGUUUAAAAAAUAAAGAAAGUCCAGGAAGUGGAGAUGAGAAAGGAAAGCAGAGGGACAACCAGUGAAAAGGCAAAGAUUUAGAAGAUAAAACGCUAUGUUCAGGAAAAACAAGGCCAGGGUAAUGUGUUGUGAGGGGAGUAAAGUGUAAGAAAAAUAAUAUACUGAAAAGGUAAGUAAGGUUGUAAAGGAUUUUUUUAAGACCCUCAGAGAUCUUAUAUUUGAUUCCAGAGAUAACAGGGAGCUACUAGAGUUUAUUGAGGGAAGCUAGGUAGUACAGUAAUAGAACACUGGGUCUAAAGUUGAAAAGUUGUAUUUUAGUCAUUUCAGUUGUUUCAGUCAUGUCAGACUCUUUCCAAAUUUGGAUUUAGGAAGAUGACUCUUGACUGCAGACCUGACACAUUGUGCCAACUAGGUGCCCCUGGAAUCAGGAAAUCAAAUCCAACUUUAAACACUUCCUAGCUAUGUGACCUUGGCAAAUCACUUCACCCUACUGGCCUCAGUUUCUUCAUCUAUAAAAUGAGCUAAAGAAGGAAAUGGCAAACCACUCCAAUAUCUUUGCCAAGGAAACCCCAAAUGGGGUCACAAAGAGUCAGAUACAACUGAAACACCUGAACAACAACAAAGAGUUUAUUGAACAGAGAAACAGUAUAGUCAAACCUGUCCUUUAGGGAAAUCACUUUAGCAGCUAAAUGGAAUAUGAAUUGGAGUGGGGAAGAGACUAUAGGCAGGGAAACCAUCCAGAAGGCAAUUGCAAUAGUCAUGGCAUAAGGUAACGAUGGCCUGCACUGUGAUAUGUGAAUUUAAAAAAAGGGGAAAUAUACAGGAAACAUUGUGAAGGUAGAAGUCAUAAGACUUGGCAACAGAUCAGAUAUGAGAGUGAGUGUGAAUGAGUUAAGGAUUAACACCUAGGUUGCACAUCUAGGUAACAGUGAGGGUGGUGGUGCCCAUUCCUAAUGUAGUUUGAAAAAUGGAAGAGUUUAAGACAAAAAAGAGGAAUUGUUUUGUACAUAAUUAGUUUGAGAUGUUUUUAAGACAUCAUUUUUGAGAUGUCCAAGAGAUAGUAUAACAUGUGAAAGGUUUUGGCAGUUGGUAAAUGAUAUUUGAAUUACUGAGUUCAGUUAUGAGUUCUACAUUUUAAAAGACUUUGAGAUCCAGAGCAUAUACAGAGAAGAGGCACCCAGAAUAGAGAAGGCUUGAAAACUUAAGUCAUAUGAAAAAUACCUAAAGUAAUUAGAGAUCAUUAAUCUUGCAUUUAUUAAGCCCCUAGUAUUAAGCCAGGCAUUGCACUAGGUAGGCUCUGUGGAUAAAAAUGUCAAAGUAAGCAAUCCCUGCCCUCAAUCUUAUCUUCUACCAAGGAGAUAAAACACAUUCACAAAUAAAUUCAAAGUGAUUUCUCAGAGAGGAGAGCCCUAAGAAUUGGGGAUACCAAGAAAGGCCUCCUUGAAAGAGAUUGUACUUGAGCUGAACUUUGAAGUGAGUUCAGGACCCAGUGGCAGAGAUAAAGAAGAAAAGUCUUCCAAAGUAUGGGCCUUUGUACUGAGAGGCAGGAAAUAGAAUGCAGUUAUAGGGAACAGAAAGUAGCCUGUUUGGCUAGACUAUUUGGUACAUGUUGGGAAGUAAUAUGGAAUCAGCCAGGAAAGAUGGGACAAAGCCAAUUGUGAAGGGCUUUAUGUGUAUUUUAUCCUAGAGGUAACAGAGCAAACCAUUACCUAGAAUUGUGCUUUUGAAAUACCAUUUUGGCAGCUAUGUGGAGGGUAGAUUCUAGAGGGUUUAGAGACAGAUUGCAGGAACAUCAUUUGGGAGGUUAUGGCAAUAAUCUAGGUGAGAGGUGUUGAAUACUAGGUUAAUAUUUAUGGGAUUGGAGGGGAGAAGAAUGCAAGAUAAUGGAGGAGGUAGGACAUAAAAAGAUUUCUGCAUUGGAAGGUUAGAAUAAAUGAUCCCUAGAGGUCUAUUAGAGAGAAUUAAGAUUCUUAACUCUGCUAAGGAUGCUUGAAGAUAGAUACUCUGUUUUUUGUUUAAAGAACAUUUGAAUAGCUACAUUGUGGUGCUAGAAAUAAAGCCAGAAAGAAGUAAGUUCAAAUCCUCUCUCAGAUACUGACAAGCUAUGUGACUCUCAGUCAAAUUAAUGAAUCUCUGUAAGCCUUUGCCUCCUCAUCUAUAAAAUUUGGAGAGAUUGGAUUAGAUUGUCUUUAAGGUACCUUACAGCUCUAAAUCUAUGAUAUUAUGAUACCUCUUUCUAAAGUCAACUCACUCUCUCAAAUAUUAACAUUCUUAAAUUGUGAACAAUGAUGUGAGAAAGUAAACCAGAUUCUUAUUAAAAUACCUCAGAGAAUACAGAUUUAUCCAUUUGAACAAUUUCAAAUAAGAGGUAAAAAUGUAACUUAUCUUAAUCUGGUCCAUUUUAAAACAUGGUAGACUUUGGAAACAUUAAAUGUUUUCAACGAUGUACAAUACUGACAGUAGAGUACAUUUCCUGUUCUACUUUCAAAUUUGCCCCUUUGUAUGACCCAUAUUAAUGUGUCUCAGUGUUCACAUAAAACAAAUAGAAUCUAAACCAAAUGAGUCAUCUAUGUACAAACAAAAAGUCGAGUAUAUGUUAUUCAGCUGGUCUCUAUAGGAAGUCCCCCCAUGUGAAUCAUGUUUGUGCUUUUUAAAAAUUGUAUGCUCAAAUCAACACAAAUAAGACAAGUAAUCAUUCUAUCUACAGUUUCUUAAAUAAUCAAGUUCCAGGGAGAAUUUUUCAAUUGUAUGUAUUUCUGUGAAGUUUUAGUUUAUAAUAUUUGUAUGAUUAACAUUAGCUAGCGAAAAUAAGUUGAAUUGGGAGAAACAAAAGGGUGUUGGGCAAUUGAAGAACCACUCAUAUUCUUCAUAUAAAGCAUAAUACCAAAAGUAUUCCACAGAAGUUGGAUUUUAGUAAAGACAGUUUGUUGGAUAUUUUAAUUUCACAAACAUUUGCUAAGCAUUUGCUGAACAAAAGACCUAGAGGAGAGGCAUUAAAGAUACGAAAUAAGACAUUCUAGACUUUAAGGAACUUAUGACCCAAAGGCAUGUACACAAAAAGCAGCUUUCCACUUUGCAUAAUUAGUCCUGAAAAAAUAUUAUGGGGACAUAAUUAAUUCCAUAGAACAUUGUCUAAUAUACAUAGUAAUCAGUAUGGAAAGAAUAAACUACUUAAUUCAGGGGAAUUAAAGCCAUUGGGGCUUAAGAGUUAGCUCAGAUGCUUAUUAGUUAUUGAUUUGUCUUGAAUGAUGGUGUAUAAUAUAAAGAUGUCAUAGGGGGCAGCUUAGGUGGCUCUAUUGAUGAGAGCCUGGUCUUAGACAGAAGGUCCUGGGUUCAAAUUUGGCCUCCGACACUUCCUAGUUGUGUGACCCUGGGCAAGUCACUUAACCCCAUUGUUUAGCACUCUUCUGACUUGGAACCAAUGGGGGGGAAGGAACUAAGAGGAGGUUCUUAUGUAGGAUUUUAGCUUAGGCUUGAAAGGAAACCGAGAAAGAGGGAGAAGGAGGAAGAGGGAAUAAAAAGAGAGAAUUGUAGGCCUGUAUGAUAUACAGUGACAUGUCCACUGUGGAGAUGGAGUAUUAUGAAAGGAACAGUAAGGAGGUUAGUGUCAAUGGUCCUGAAGUAGGUAGAAAGGCAGCAGCGGGGCUAGGUUUUGAAGGCCUCUAAAAUUCAAACCAGAGGAUUUUAUAUUUGAUCCUAGAGGUGAUAGAGAGCCACUCAAGCAUACUGAAUGAGUGACAUUGUCAGACCUUUAGGAAGAUUAAUUUGACUGUUGAGUGGAGAAUGGAUUAGAGUGAUGAGACAGGAAGAGAGAUCAACAAGGCGGCUAUUAUUGCCUUCAGUAUAAGGUGAUGCGAAUCUGGUGACAAUAUCAGAGGAGAGGAGACAUAUCAAAAGAUAGUACAAAGACAAAAUCAACAGGCCUUGUCAACUGAUGGAAUUUUGGGCGUUGAGAGUAAGGAAUGGAAAGGCUGGAUGCUGGUACUCUUGACAAUAAUAGGGAAAUUACAAGGUGGGGGAGGGCAUGAAUCAGGAAAAAGGAGAGUACUUUUGCACUGGAAUGUUUGCACUAGGUUUGCAUCCUGCCUCAGACACUCCCUGAUCUUUCUCCUCAUCUGUAAAAUGGGGAAAAUCAAUAGGACCUAAUUCAUAAGGUUGUUUUAAAAAAUUUUUUAAAGAAAACAAAUGAAGUGCUUUGCAAACUUCAAAAGCAUUUUAUAAAUAUGAGUUAUUUGUUCACUUAAGUCUCAAAGUAAAGACAAAGGUAAAGCUGGAAUUAUAGAUCAAUAAGGGUGAUACUUGAAUACACUGAAGUGGAUGAUAACAUUAUUGCAUAUACAGAGAAAGGAAAAUUGCCUACAAAUUUCAGAAUUAUGUCUGUAUCUAAGGGGGAGGGGGGAGAAGGAGACAAAGGGAGAGAGACAGAAAUUAAAUUAGAGUUCUCUGUCAUAAACAUCAAUAUAUAAAGGAUAAAACAUCAAUAAAGUAAUGGCAUGUUCAGCCAUGUCAGAGGAUUCAGAAGAUUAGACCUGGGGGAGAAAAACCAUUAGAUUCAGCAAUUAGAUAGUCGUUUCUGAUAGAUCAAUUUCAGGGAUAAUUGUGGAGACAGACUUAGUUUAUAAGACAUUGAAGAGUAAUUAAGUGAUGAAGAAAGGGAGGCAACGAGUGUAUAAUGUUUUCUAGACGUUCAUUCAAAAAAAAGAUGGAAUUUAUAGUUAAAGGGGUUAAUGUUUUUUCUCACAAAAGAAGACAUGAACAUAUUUUUAGACAGAGACCAGGUGGAAAAGGAGAAUUUGAAAAUGCAGUAUUUUUCUUUUUCUUUUUUUUUUAUAAACCCUUACCUUCCAUCUUGGAAUCAAUACUGUGUAUUGGCUCCAAGGCAGAAGAGUGAUAAGGGCUAGGCAAUGGGGGUCAAGUGACUUGCCCAGGGUCACACAGCUGGGAAGUGUCUGAAGCCAGAUUUGAACCUAGGACCUCCCGUCUCUAGGCCUGGCUCUCAAUCCACUGAGCUACCCAGCUGCCCCCCAGUAUUUUUCUAAGUAGUAAGACCUCAAGUUUCAUAAAAAUUUUUCCCUGGGGUAGACAUUGUCCAGAAGUCAAGGAAGGUAGAAGAGGAAAAAGGGAGUUGUGCUCACCACAUCUUUAAAUGUCCAAGUCACUAGAAGAAAGGGAGGAAUUUAAAUUGAGGAUUCCUACUAGCUACUUAAGAACAACCUCAAAAAUCAUACAAAUAAGAGUAUUCUAAAAUGACUUACAUAGUACAUUUGUGAAAAUAAAUUGCCAUGUUCGCAGGUUUGAACAACAUUCUGUCUGGGCAUGGUUUAACUAGUAGACUAUAUGUAUACUGUAUCAAACCUAACAGGGAUUGUCUACUUUAAGUUAAGUAUUAAAAAUUCAUAAGUUUGUUUAUUAUAGUAUUCAUAGAAAUAGUGGUAUAGAAACCAAUUGUACAAUAUAAGCCAGUAAUGAAUUAAAAGAUCAAAGUAAGUAUGGAAAUUUUGUGCCUAUUUAGAUAUCUUGAACAUAGAUAAUAUUUGUUAAACUGGCACUGGAACAUAAGUAUAUGGCCUAUGCCACUGAGAAGGGUGAGACUGUUAGAUCUCAGGAGUUCUGAGUUAAGGUUGAGCUAAAGACCUUCACUAAUAGGGUGAGCUCACUGGCUGUCUAAGGAGGGGAAAACUGGUCCAGGUUAGAAGUAGAACAGAUCAAAACUUUGUGUCAAUCUACACCAGAGUUGGUUCUGUGAAUAGCUCCUGUACUUCUAGCCUACAUAAGAUAGGGAAACCCAUUAUAAAAAAAGAGAGAGAGAAUAAAAUGUAAGCCUGCAAAAUAUUUCUUUUCACAUAUGCAGUAUAAAUAGAAACUAUUAUUAUAAAAUAUUUGGAUUUUUAGUCAUUGUGACAAAAUGGUAUUUUGUAAAAUACUACAAGAACAUAACUACCUUUAGCAAAAUAAACACCCUUUAGGACUGAUAGCACAAAUAUACCUCUCCAAAGGCAAUCCUGGAAAGGGCAAGGAUUGUCUUAAGUCUCACAGAAAUUUCAUGUGGAACCAGCAAACCCUACCCACACUGGCUCCCCUUCUCUAUCCGAAACUAAGAUAUAGCCGAAUCCCUAAAGUGAUGACAUAAAUCCAUGUGUCGAUGCCCACUGCAGGAAUUAAAAGGAAAAGGGAAUAAGCAUUUAUAUAGAGCAGUGAUAGUGAACCUUUAGAGUGCCCAAACUGCGACCCUCACACACAUGUGAGCUGCCCCUUUUCCUCAGACAGGGAAGGGAAGAAGUGCUCCCAUAGGGCUCCUGAGCAGAGGGGUGGGUAAGGGGAGAAUUGUCCUCGGGUGCAUGUGGAGAUGGGGAGGGGAUCAACCCCCUCUAGCAUGAGUGCCCUAGGUUUGCCAACAUGGAUAUAGGACUUUCUAUCUGCCAGGCACUAUGCUAAGUGCUUUACAAAUAUUUCAUUUGAUUCUCACAACAACCCAAUGAGGUAGGUGCUGUUGUUAUCCUCAAUUUUCAGUUGAGGAAAUUGAGUAAAACAAAGAUUAAGUAACUUGCCCAGCCAAGUCACACAGCUAGUAAGCUGGAGACUAAUGGAGCAUAGAGAAGAGGAAUAAGCAAAAGCCCAUAAAUGUUUACUUUAGACAAUUUUUCUUUCUGCCUUAUUUUUUUUCAACUAUAAAAUAAGAGUAGUGGAUUCUGUAAUCUUCCAAGUUUUCUUCUAACUUUAACAAAAACGAGAGUAUGUAUGAAGGAGGCAGCUAGGUGGUUCAGUGGAUUGAGAGUCAGGAGAUCCUGGAUUCAAAUGUGGCCUAGACACUUUCUGACUGUGUGACCCUGGGCAAGUCACUUAUCCCCCCCCCUCCCCCAUUGCCUGACCCUUACUGCUCUUCUGCCUUGGAACUAAUACACAGUAGUGAUUCUAAAACAGAAGGUAAGAUUUGCAGGGGGCUGAGGGGGAGGGGACUAGUAUAUAGGAAAAUGUUAAUCCCUAGAAAAUUUUUCAGACUCACAUGUAAUGUCUUUAAAUAGAUCAUAUACGGUCAGAUGCAGAUCCUCCUAAAUUCAUAUUAAUAGCACCCCCAACUUUGGCAUUGAAUUACUUAUUCACAGAACUUGUGAAUUUCUGAAGGCUCAUUCCUUUUUCUUGGUACUUUGGUAGCAGGGAGUUUUAAAAGUACUUGCUUUCCAUUAAAUAAUAAAGAGCACAUAUUUUUGAAAAGACAUUAACAAAUGGGAGUAUAUUCAGAGGGAAGUAACCAGGGUUAUAAGGAGUCCUGAAAGUGUACUAAAAAUGAUCGGUCAGAGGAAUUUUGGAUGUUUAGCUUAGAGAAGACUAGACUUAGAGGGAGACAUAAUAGCUGUCUUUAAAUAUUUGAAAGGCUCUCAUCUGGAAAAGAGAUUAGACUUGUUCUGCUGUGCCCCGAGGGCAGAACCAGGAGCUGUGGGUGGUAGUUUUAGAGUGGCAGUUUUAGGUCCCACAUAAAAGGAAUACUUCCUAAUAAGUAGGGCUAUGCAAUAAUGAAAUGGGCUACUUCAGGAGAUAAGUACCCUAUAACAGAAGAGUCUUCAAACAGAUGCUAAGUGACCUCUUGUUGGUAUUGUAGUGGGAAUCUAUGCUUCAGGUCCUUAUUGGACUUGUUGAUGUCUGAGGACCCUCAUGACUUGGACAUUUUAUAAUUCUGGUUCCAACAGAAUUGGCAUUGGAGGAGGGAUCAGAACUAUUUUUUAUGCUUCAAAUGAAAUAUCAGGUUAUCAAAUCAUUAUCCACUUAUCUCCUAAGCAAAAUGAAAAAUGAAUAUUCAGAGAAAUGGGGAUUAAAAACCAUAAACAGUAGAACCACUAACCUGCCUAAAUUAAAUACAUAGUUCUCAGAAAAUACUUAUUUCUCUCUUGCCAAAAUUUCUUUUAAUUCUUGCUACAUUUUUAGCAAUAAAUUUAACUGCCUGAAACCAAGGUAUUUUUGUAAGUGUUCCUGAAGCAAUAAUUCCUACCCCCUGGUGCUCAGAUUUUCAAAUUCUUAACCUUCAAGAGGCUAUUUUUAAUUUUUUUUUUUGCCAGUAGAGGAACCAUAGUAUUAACUUUUUUUUAUCCCCUUUUUUUCUUCCCUAUUUACAAAGCUUCUUCUAUAGGGGUUCCUAACUUGGGGUCUAAAGGCACCCAAAGUCCAUGAAUAGAUUCCAGGAGUUCCACGAAUUUAGACAGAAAAAAAAAUUACAUCUUUAUUUUCACUAAUCUAACUGAAAUUAUCAUCAGAUAUCAAUUCAUCAGAUUAUGAAGAGUCUAUAACACACACAAAAAAAGAUUAAGAACUCCUACUCUAUUGUGAGUUAUUGUGAUUUUUUAAAAACUCUUCAUUCAGAUGACUCUACAAGCUUGGGUAUGGUGGUCUUUGAAUAGGCACAAUAUCUAUAGCACAGAGCCAGGACCAGAGCCUUUCCUAGCUUGAUAAGACCUUACCCAGAAUAGGUGUUUCAUUACUGAAUGUUCAAGAACCCAGCCUAGGGAGAGAUUAUAAUUUUCUAAAGGCUGAAGGCUAAAAUGAAAAUUCAAUUAGAUAAAUGUCUAAUUGCUUCCUAUUUGAAUGGGACUUUUAAAAAGACAGUUGCUACCAUCCAGAUUGCUGCCCUCAAGGAGCUUUUAUGCCCCUCUUGAGACCUUACCUACAUAGGUAAAUUCAAGUUUCCUUGCAUUUAUUAGGUCCCUAAGGGCUGUGACGUUGUUUUUUUUUGUUUGUUUGUUUGUUUGUUUUUUGUACUCUCCAGUACUUAGCACUGGGCCUAGUUUAUUGUUUAUUGACUAGUAAAUUAAUUUUAGGAAGAAGCCUGGACCAACAACUGGUGAGAAUCAGGAAAGGCUUCUCCUAGGAGGUGGCAGACCUUGUAAGAGACCAAGUUGAGGGAAGAAUUCAUCCAUGACCUGGAGGAUAGUUGUGCAGACAGGGAAGUAGAGGAUGGCAUAUCAAGAGUUCAGAAGACAAUUAGUAAGCAAGCUAUCCAAGCAUGGAACUUAUACUGUGAAAUAAGGCCAGAAAGAUAUAUGAGAGCAAUCGUGGGAGGUUUUAAUACAAAGAUGAGGAACUGGUAUUUUAUCCUUGAAGCAAUAAGGAGCCACUAGAGAUUUUUGAAGAGGGGCAGGAGAUGUUUAAAAUAUCUUAAGAAGAAAAAUUUAAGUUUUGUGGAAAAUAGAUUUGGAGAGGAAAUGGAUUGGAAACAGAACUAGAGAGCAUUAGAACAGAGAAUUUGGAGGACACAGCAAUAAUCCAUGUAAAGGAGAUGAAGACCUAAAGGUAGAGUAGGAAAUACAAAGUAGAGAGAAGGGGAAUGCUUAUGACAGAUGUAGAUACAGAAUCAAGACUCACAGCUAAUUGCCAGAGGGAAGGGGGGAGAGGGAAAGGGAAGAGUCAGUAACUGAUGUUACAGAACCCAGUAACUAGAAUGAUGGUGUCCUUAUCAGAUGGUGUCCUUAUUAUAGUGUGGGAAAGAAAUGUGGAACAUUCAGCCAAGAAAAAAGGUCAGCAGCAACCUAAAAAUCUCAGGAAGGAGACAGGCACAGCAAGGAUAACCAAAGGAAAAGUGAGGGAGUUUAAGUAGAGGACGACCUGAGAGCCCUUCCUGACCUAAAUCAAUGAUUUAGCACAUACAACUGGGAAAUGGGUAAGUAAAAAGACCAACUGGCUAGAAACUCCUAGGAAGUUUUUAAAAAGUUGGAUAACCUAGUCAUAGGAACAUUAAAGAGAGGUAGAAGGGAUCUCAGUGGCUAUGAGCUAACUCCCUCAUUUACAGAUUUGGAAACUGAGGUUUAGGGAGGUUGUGUCUUGCCCAAGGUUACUCCAGGGGAGAGUGUUGGAGCCAUCCAAGUUCUCCUAUGCUAGAGCCAGUGAGCUUUUCAUUCAACAAGCUCCCUAUGUAACUUAAAGUAAAAGGGAAAUAAGAGUCUUUUAUUCCUUAGGUAGGCUCUACCUCACUGUAAACCUAAAAACUCAAUCCUCUUCUUAGUGCUAAUUCAGCUCAUCAAGGACUGCAUACUUAAAACUUUUAUUGGCAUAGUCAAUAGUAACUCCAUUAAAGUCAAGAAUAAGGGAUUUAUCUAAGCAAAGGCUCUCUUGAACAUAGGCAGCCUAAAGGUGGUAAGGGUUCACAAAAAACAUUCCUUCUAAACUCCCUAAAUCUUAUUUAGAAAUGCCACCAAUACCGACAGGGGCUGUGGCUUUGGGCAGCACGCAUGAGCCUGCUGGAGCUCCGAGACGGACCGAUUGUUUCGGUAGGAAUACACUCAUCGCAUGAGUAAAUACACACAAAGUCUCACACGCAUUUUCUGGUUCGGAGUGUUAACAAAGGGUCGGUUGCCCACCGUUUUCUUUUACGUUUAUCCUAAACCACAUUUGUUUACUCCGAUCAGUUCAUUAAACGGCAAACUACCUACGGACCGUUGCUGCCUUGCUGCAGCAGUAGGCUCGAUCCCUGCGGUUGAGGAGUGAACGAGUACGCAUGCGCCUUUGACAGCCUCUAAAGGAUGUUGAAGUGGGGAGCGCGAAGAGUUUGACGCGCAUGUGUAAAAGACUCGAGGGAGGAGAAGUGUGGAGAGUUGGGUGGGGUUUUGCGCAUGUGCAAAAGUUGUUGGGAAAGUGGAGGAGGGAGGAUGAGGAGAUAUUGACAGUAGUAGCCGCCCUCGUUCCCGGCAUGCCCUGGGGCGGCGGGGUUGGCUCUAACGAAUUUGAAUGAGGAGCCCUUGCGCUUUCGGCGCCAUUUUCGAGUGAUGCUUGAUCGCAUCAUUUCAGCGGGAGAAACGGGGCACCCUAAUCCGGGUGGAAAGCCCCAUGGGGAACCCCCUGAAAAAUCGCCAAAAAAUCUUUUAAAAUUUCCUCUAGAUGGAGGCAGUACGUGGAACUUCUUUGGGGCCAGCGCCAUCGGUUUUGACCUUUUUGUAGAGGAGAACUGAUUCUGGAGAACAACUUAACUUCUGUGAUUGAAAACCCCCAUAUUAUAUAUGGAAAAAGAUGGGAGAUUAAGGUUAUAGCAAGUUAAGAUAGGCUGUAUUGGUACUAUGUGAUAACAACUUGUUGACCUCAAUUUGAAGAAGCAUUCUUGAUUUGACUACAAGUGAGACUUCCACAAUAUUUCUGAAGUAUCUCUUAAGGGAACUUGGUUCCUCUUUGACUCACUGAAAAGGACUCCUGGAUGCUGAGACUAUAUCACAUGGAAACAUUUUCAGAGAAUUACAAGAAUUCUUGUUGGCAUUGCCACCAUCCCAAGCUUUAAGUGUCAAGUAAGUAUCUGGACUUAACCAAAAUAGCCUUCUACUUUAUGGCUAGUUUGGAUCACCCCGUAGUUAUUUAAUAAAUUCCAUCAAAAUAACCCCAAACCCAGAAUCAAUCAUGCUUUGGUCCAUUCACUUAGGCUGCGAAGACACAACCUUUAUGUUAGAAGCUACCCAGGACUGACUGAUAAGAGAGAAGCUUUUGAAAGCUUAUAACCUCUUUUCUGGCCAAUCACCAUUUGGACAAACCAGCAAGAGGGAUAAAGUCCAGGCAGAAUAGAACAUUCCUUGUCAUAGGAUCAGAGGUUAUUAAAAUGUUCACUUGUAUUGGGCUUGUUGAUCUUGUUCUUCCUCGCCUUUGCUGAUCUUCUGGACCCUGAGCUCUGCCUGCCUGGAUCUGCACACAGCACCUGCUUGAUCUUGCCUGCCUUUGCUGAUCUCCUGGACUUUGCCUACCCACAUGGACCCAUGGCACCUGCUUGUUCCUCCCUGCCUUUGCUGGUCUCCUGGAUUCUGGACUUUUGUGUUUCCAUGGGAAUCCAUUUGCUCCUUCCUUAUUAAUUGAUCCUACUCUGUUCUUAACCCUUUGCCUGCCUAUACUUUUUGGUAUCUAGAAAAUGCCUGUGGAUUAACUGAACCCCCUUCCCUGCCCUCUCCUGCCUACCGUGAUAUUUGCCCCUGCAUAAUAGUGGGAAUUUAUUGGCUUUUUAAAAAAUAAUGAGAAAAGCGCCUGGCAUUAAAGAAUUUAUCUUAUUUUUAAAUCUCCCUAAAUUUUUAAAUCUCCCUAAAAUUUACCUCCUAAAGCGACUUUUAGCUGCCCUCUUUCCCAUUUUAUAAGCAAGGUUAUAGCAUAAGAUAUGUUUUGGGCAGAAUUCUAUAGUAUCCAAGAAGCCAGGGUGCUUUCUGAAGGGUCAAAGUUUGUGUCUUAAGCUUCCCUUAGAUGUACUACAAUGCACAAUGUUAACACAUUAGAAGGCUAUAUUUGCUUCAGUAAAUACCAUGUUGGCCUGAAAGUAAGUUGUACCUUUGCAAAAAAUUAGGCAAAACCUGUUUAUGGUUUUUUAUCUUAUUGGAAAAAUAUCACACGUAAGAAACAGACUAGUUCUAUAAUUUCAUUAGUAUCAGGAGCUCCCCAGUAAGGGAACUUUCCCAAAUGCAGGUUGAAACUUUCUCUGCAACCUAAAAUCAAAAAGAAUUGCCUAGAGGUCUGAGAGAUUAAGUAUGUGACCCUUCUUUUCCCAGAGUCCCACAGCCAGUAUGUAGGAGGGACAACAUUUGAACUUGGGUCUUCUUGGCUUUAAGGACAGUUACCUCUCAAUCCACCAAGCCAAAUUGUUGUUAGUAAGGGAGGUCAAUAAAAGUGACAAAGAUGGAAAAAAAGGAUGACCAAAGUAAAUAAACAACUGUAGUAGAAUGGAAAGUUGAUUUUAAAAAAUUCUUUUAACUUUCAGAAUAAAUCUCUGAAUACAAUAAUUUCAUAUAAUUAUUUUCCAGUUUUCGCCAAUUCUUUUUAAAAAAUCUCAUUUUAGGAAUGCAACCCUUAUUGGAGUAUGACCCAUAUUCUGAUCAAUAUGGUACAAGUUUGAAGUAGGGGCCUGUUAAAGGAGAUAUAAGGAUGAGAUAAUGAGUUGUAUUCUAAGAUCAUCUUUAAAUAUUGCCACAAAUUGCCUCUCGGGCUAAAUGGAGAGGCAAAUUUGAAGGAAAUCUUUUUUGUUCCAAACCUUUUAUUAUUUGAGCUACAUAUCCUAUUAUGCCUGUAAUACCACCAUACCCUUUGGUGAAAAUGUAAUGUAAAAUGUUUCUGUAUGACAGUUGUGAAGAAUUUUUAUUUUUAAGUUCUUUUGUUUCCUUAUUUAUCACAUAAUUUGUUUUCAAAAAAUGUUUGUCAAUUUAUUAUUGUACUUUCUUUGAGGUAGAGCACUGUGUUUUAGUUAAUCUUUAUAUCCCUGAUGCCUGGCACAGUCAGUGCCUUGAAUUACAGUAAGUGUUUAAUAAAUGUUUGUUAUUUAUUUA